GCCUGGGUGGCUUAGCGGUUUAGCGCUGCCUUCAGCCCAGGGCCUGAUCCUGGAGACCUGGGAUCAAGUCCCACCUCAGGCU
rnacentral:tRNA from 1 species